UUUUGUUGGUGCCCCCCCCCCCCCCUUUGGAAGACGCUCCGCCACUCCUGGGGGGACACAUCAGUCAAAAGCGCGCACAGGGGGGGGGGGGGGGUUGAGGGGUAAUGUGCCCCCCUCCAAAGCUGAAUUUUUGAACCUGGAUUUUGUCAAACUCCCAAUAGAUAAAUAUCAUUCACAAUUCUCUUCAAGCAGUACGUGUAACUUCACCUUGCAAGCAGUAUGUUUAAUUUUUUAAUCACCUUGUAUAUUAGGCCCUGUAUUUCAGCUCAAAUUGUUUAGUGAUUGUGGACAGGCGAAGCAGGAAAAUAGAAAAUUUGGCCUUCAUACACACAACCACACCAGUGACACCAUGAAACAGAAACACUAUUACAAUGAUUACCCGUACUGAAACAUAGUUUUCAAACUACCGAGGAGAGGUAACCAGGAACCAAGGUAUAAUACAAUGAUGCAAUUUUACCCAUGUUGUAGUAGUACAUGGUAGUAGUAUGGAUGUCCCGCCUCUUCUUUUAUGCACAUCCUUUCCACUGCUAUCGCAAGUUUUAAAAAAAGGGCCCAAUGCUGCAUAACUAAGCAAGGUAGGAGUUCAUUAAAAACAUGAUGUAAAACAUUAAGUAUAUCACACUAAGCAUCUCAAUCUGACAGCACGAUGUGGAGAAAAGUUAAUGGUGUAGAUAAAUACACAACAAAUAUGUUCAUCGGCAGUCUAAGUCAAGCAAUCAUUUAUAAAACUGAGGCUUUGCCAAGGCAUCCAUUUUAAGUAUGUGUCUAUAGGGCAAAUAAGAUGUAGUCAAGUACUCAAGUUACCACCUGUCAGCCAAGAUCAAACUUUUGGAAUAUAAGAGUUUUGGGGAGGGGUCAUCUUUUAUCAAUUUCUGUUUAUUGAUAAUAAUUAUAACAUUUGGGAAUGGGCCUAUGAGUCUGAUAUACCUUGGUGCGUGUGUGGACCACGGAGUAACCAUCACACUAAAGGAUGUUAUAUACUAUUGUACAGUAUUAUUGUUUCUCUGGAAAAAAUUGCAGUCAUUGAGUCAUAGGUAUUUUUUUUUUUUUAAGAAAUGUUUUUAUAAUGUGUUUUAUAAUGAAGGGUGCAGGUCAUGAUACAAUACAUUCCCUGGAGAAAAAAAUAGUGCUCAGAUUUAGCCUAAGUAUGCUUUGUUGAAUUUUUAAAGAAAAAAGUAAUCUACAAAUGGAAGUAGCAGAUGAGGUCAUUUGUGCUUAAUAUUUGACCAUCAAUGUUAUAAUCUGUAAACAUAUUAGUUUGUUGUAAUAAAAUGAAUAAAUUAAACAUGUUUAUUAUCUUA
rnacentral:lncRNA from 1 species